rnacentral:piRNA from 1 species
UUCUCUGAUCAUCAGGAUUCUCUUGGA